rnacentral:rRNA from 1 species
UACGGGGGGUGCGAGCGUUGUCCGGAAUCACUGGCGUAAAGGGCGCGUAGGUGGUUUGAUAAGGGUGUGGUGAAAGUCCGGGGCUCAACCCCGGAUCUGCCGUGCCGACUGUCAAACUCGAGGACUGUAGAGGCAGACGGAAUUCCGGGUGUAGCGGUGGAAUGCGUAGAGAUCCGGAGGAAGACCGGUGGCGAAGGCGGUCUGCUGGGCAGUUUCUGACAGCUG